UGGGGAAUAUUGGACAAUGGGCGAAAGCCUGAUCCAGCCAUGCCGCGUGUGUGAAGAAGGUCUUCGGAUUGUAAAGCACUUUAAGUUGGGAGGAAGGGCAUUAACCUAAUACGUUAGUGUUUUGACGUUACCGACAGAAUAAGCACCGGCUAACUCUGUGCCAGCAGCCGCGGUAAUACAGAGGGUGCAAGCGUUAAUCGGAAUUACUGGGCGUAAAGCGCGCGUAGGUGGUUUGUUAAGUUGGAUGUGAAAUCCCCGGGCUCAACCUGGGAACUGCAUUCAAAACUGACUGACUAGAGUAUGGUAGAGGGUGGUGGAAUUUCCUGUGUAGCGGUGAAAUGCGUAGAUAUAGGAAGGAACACCAGUGGCGAAGGCGA
rnacentral:rRNA from 1 species